rnacentral:lncRNA from 1 species
CGACGCGGUCCGGGAGCGCACCCGCCGGUGACUUCUGCAUCUUGGUCUCCAGUCCCAGCCGCGAGGGAAGUUCCUGGGGCCGGCCGGGCGUAAGGAUGCCUCACCCGCUGCUUGGUGCACAGAUGCCAGCCUGUGGUUAUUGGAACCUGUCUGCCAGACCAAAGGGAGGAAAUCUGCCAGACAAGAUGUGGAACCUAAAAGCGGAACGUCACUAACUGCUGUGGGCAUCUCUGCCACUUCAUGACCCGUGGACUUUUGGGGAAGUAUUUUUGUGGCUCACCAGUCUCUCAUUAGGCAAGGGCCAGUUCUCCUGGGCUGGCCUUCUCUACUGGUGGAAAGUACAGCUGGGAGAUUUGGAAUGGUUGCUGUUUGACUCUGAUUCUUGGCCAUGAGCUUUUUUGGAUUGCUUCAUGGUCAAAAGAUGGCUGCUAGAGAUCCAGUUUUCAUGUCUCAAACAGGAAGAAGAAGAAAGCACUAAAUGCCAACAGAGUCUAAGACCAGAUUAUACCCUCUUUGAACUGAUUUCCUGGAAGCCCCACACCAAGCUCCGGAGGGACGGACAGGCUGACCAGAAGCACAAGAUGCAGAUAACUGCUGCUGAGACCUGUAGAGUGAGCCAGGGUGAUGACAAGGCAGUGAUGCUGAUGAUGGAGAGAGCUAACGGCUGCUGGGAACAUUCUACAUGA